GACGAACGCUGGCGGCGUGCUUAACACAUGCAAGUCGAACGGUGAACCGGGCUUCGGCCCGGGGAUCAGUGGCGAACGGGUGCGUAACACGUGGGCAACCUGCCCCAGACACUGGGAUAACUCCGGGAAACCGGGGCCAAUACCGGAUACUCCGGUCGAACCGCAUGGCUCGAUCGGGAAAGCUCCGACGGGCUGGGCUGGGCCCGCGGCCUAUCAGCUUGUUGGUGGGGUACCGGCCUACCAAGGCGACGACGGGUAGCUGGUCUGAGAGGACGACCAGCCACACUAGAACUGAGAUACGGUCCAGACUCCUACGGGAGGCAGCAGUGGGGAAUCUUGCACAAUGGGCGCAAGCCUGAUGCAGCGACGCCGCGUGAGGGAUGAAGGCCCUCGGGUUGUAAACCUCUUUCGGCAGGGAAGAAGCGCAAGUGACGGUACCUGCAGAAGAAGUCCCGGCUAACUACGUGCCAGCAGCCGCCGUAAGAC
rnacentral:rRNA from 1 species